CCUCAGCUCAGCAUCGCUGAUGCGGUCCAGCUCGUCCGU
rnacentral:antisense_RNA from 1 species